CACCCGGUGGCACAAGGUGUGCGUCUGCUAUCUUUCAAUGAUGAUUCAAGAAAGUUUGAGCAGAAGGUCCCCGUUCGAUUCGGGGUCGGGUGA